rnacentral:misc_RNA from 1 species
UCCCAAUUAUCUCGGGCAGUCCUCUGUGACAUAUAAAACACAGAGCAAGGGUUGCGUUCGUUACCCGAAUUAACGGUACGUCUCAAGACACGAACUGACGACAGCCAUGCAGCACCUGCCCAACUGUCUUGCGAAGUUCUACUUUCAUAGAAUGGUCAGUUGGGUUUCUAGUCCUGGUAAGGUUCUCCGGUUGUUGUCGAAUUAAGCCACAUGGUCCACUGCUUGUGUGAGUCCCCGUCUAUUCCUUUGAGUUUUAAACUUGCGUUCGUACUUCCCAGGCGGGAUGCUUAACGCGUUAGCUUCGACACUGGCAGGGUCGACACUGCCAAUAUCCAGCAUCCAUCGUUUACAGCGUGGACUA